rnacentral:rRNA from 1 species
AUUGAACGCUGGCGGCAGGCCUAACACAUGCAAGUCGAGCGAGCGGCGGACGGGUGAGUAAUGUCUGGGAAACUGCCCGAUGGAGGGGGAUAACUACUGGAAACGGUAGCUAAUACCGCAUACCAUCAGAUGUGCCCAGAUGGGAUUAGCUAGUAGGUGGGGUAAUGGCUCACCUAGGCGACGAUCCCUAGCUGGUCUGUGAGGAUGACCGACCAAAAUGGAACUGAGCCACGGACCAGACUGCGACAGGAGGCAGCAGUGGGGAAUAUUGCACAAUGGGGGCAAGCCUGAUGCAGCCAGGCCGCGUGUGUGAAGAAGGCCUUCGGGUUGUAAAGUACUUUCAGCGAGGAGGCGUUAAUCGCAGAAGAAGCACCGGAUAACUCCGUGCCAGCAGCCGCGGUAAUUC